rnacentral:rRNA from 1 species
UACGUAGGCAGCGAGCGUUGUUCGGAGUUACUGGGCGUAAAGCGUGCGUAGGCGGUGGUCCAAGUCUGGUGUGAAAUCUCCCGGCUCAACUGGGAGGGUGCGCCGGAAACUGGGCCGCUGGAGUAUGGGAGAGGCAAGCGGUAUUCCAGGUGUAGCGGUGAAAUGCGUAGAUAUCUGGAGGAACACCCGUGGUGCAGACGGCUUGCUGGACCAUGACUGACGCUGAGGCACGAAAGCGUGGGUAGCAAACAGG